rnacentral:rRNA from 1 species
AUUGAACGCUGGUGGCAUGCUUUACACAUGCAAGUCGGACGGCAGCACAGAGAAGCUUGCUUCUUGGGUGACGAGUGGCGAACGGGUGAGUAAUAUAUCGGAACGUACCGAGUAAUGGGGGAUAACUAAUCGAAAGAUUAGCUAAUACCGCAUAUUCUCUGAGGAGGAAAGCAGGGGACCUUCGGGCCUUGCGUUAUUCGAGCGGCCGAUAUCUGAUUAGCUAGUUGGUGGGGUAAAGGCCUACCAAGGCGACGAUCAGUAGCGGGUCUGAGAGGAUGAUCCGCCACACUGGGACUGAGACACGGCCCAGACUCCUACGGGAGGCAGCAGUGGGGAAUUUUGGACAAUGGGCGCAAGCCUGAUCCAGCCAUGCCGCGUGUCUGAAGAAGGCCUUCGGGUUGUAAAGGACUUUUGUCAGGGAAGAAAAGGCUGUUGCUAAUAUCGACAGCUGAUGACGGUACCUGAAGAAUAAGCACCGGCUAACUACGUGCCAGCAGCCGCGGUAAUACGUAGGGUGCGAGCGUUAAUCGGAAUUACUGGGCGUAAAGCGAGCGCAGACGGUUACUUAAGCAGGAUGUGAAAUCCCCGGGCUCAACCUGGGAACUGCGUUCUGAACUGGGUGACUAGAGUGUGUCAGAGGGAGGUAGAAUUCCACGUGUAGCAGUGAAAUGCGUAGAGAUGUGGAGGAAUACCGAUGGCGAAGGCAGCCUCCUGGGAUAACACUGACGUUCAUGCUCGAAAGCGUGGGUAGCAAACAGG